ACGGUGUGGUUCAUGACUGGGGUGAAGUCGUAACAAGGUAGCCGUAGGGGAACCUGCGGCUGGAUCACCUCCUUAAACGA
rnacentral:rRNA from 1 species